AGACACAAGGCAGAAGAAGUGUUCUAUGCAGUCAAAGUUUUACAGAAGAAAGCAAUCCUGAAAAAGAAAGAGGUAUGAGAUGUGCUUGAUGGGCUGGCAUUGGAGGUAGACACUGCUUGAAUAAUCUUAAUCUUGGAAUGUUGGUGCCAAGUUGAAACUUGCCAUUAAAUCUGAAUUGUCAUUUUCCUAGGAGAAGCAUAUUAUGUCGGAGCGGAAUGUUCUGUUGAAGAAUGUGAAGCACCCUUUCCUGGUGGGCCUUCACUUCUCUUUCCAGACUGCUGACAAAUUGUACUUUGUCCUAGACUACAUUAAUGGUGGAGAGUUGUUCUACCAUCUCCAGAGGGAACGCUGCUUCCUGGAACCACGGGCUCGUUUCUAUGCUGCUGAAAUAGCCAGUGCCUUGGGCUACCUGCAUUCACUGAACAUCGUUUAUAGGUAAGCCUGAGAGCUCUUAAGGCUACCUAUUUGGGUAUAAAGGAGACAUAGCACUGGCUCUU
rnacentral:sRNA from 1 species